AGCCAAGCUCUGCCUUGCGUGCCAACGGGCAUCAGAUGACUGCCUGGAAACCCUGAGACGGAGGCGGCGCAAGCAACAGGAAGCUGAUCUGAGCGACUCGGCUCAGAAAGGUCUUCCUCGGCAGGCCAUGCAGCCUGGCGGGAAAUGGACAAUCAAUACGGAGGACAGUCAUUCCCAGUCUCCGAGAGACACCAGGACCUGCCCCUGCGCGGAAGCCACAGCGGCCUGAGUCAUAAAAAGACCUCCUUGGCCAGAACGGUCACAAUAUGGCUCCUGCAGCUCCAGACAUCGCGUCAGUGUUCAAGGGAAGAACAGAGGAGAAGGAAGCCACCAGCCUUCUUUUUCUCAGUUCUCAGGAAAGCAAGCAUUUUCCCUAAAUCUCCC